rnacentral:rRNA from 1 species
UACGUAGGGGGGCUAGCGUUGUCCGGAAUCAUUGGGCGUAAAGAGCGUGUAGGCGGUCCGGUAAGUCCGCUGUGAAAGUCGGGGGCUCAACCCUCGAAUGCCGGUGGAUACUGUCGGGCUAGAGUGCGGAAGAGGCGAGUGGAAUUCCUGGUGUAGCGGUGAAAAUUGCGCAGAUAUCAGGGAGGAACACCUAUUGCGAAAGGGCAGCUCGCUGGGGACUAAACUGACGCUGAGACGCGAAAAGCUGGGGGGAGCAAAACAGG